UACGAAGGGGACUAGCGUUGUUCGGAAUCACUGGGCUUAAAGGGCGCGUAGGCGGUCCGACAAGUCAGGGGUGAAAUCCUGCAGCUUAACUGCAGAAGUGCCUUUGAUACUGUCGGUCUUGAGGGAGAUAGGGGUGUGCGGAACUCACAGUGGAGCGGUGAAAUGCGUUGAUAUUGUGAGGAACGCCGGAGGCGAAAGCGGCGCACUGGAUCUCUUCUGACGCUGAGGCGCGAAAGCUAGGGGAGCAAACGGG
rnacentral:rRNA from 1 species